rnacentral:rRNA from 1 species
UACGUAGGAGGCAAGCGUUGUCCGGAAUUACUGGGCGUAAAGCGCGUGUAGGUGGUGGGACAAGUCUGCUGUGAAAGCGCCUAGCUUAACCGGGCGAGGUCGGCGGAAACUGUCGCACUCGAGGACGGUAGAGGGGGGUGGAAUUCCCGGUGUAGUGGUGAAAUGCGUAGAGAUCGGGAGGAACACCUGUGGCGAAGGCGGCCCCCUGGGCCGGCCCUGACACUGAGACGCGAAAGCGUGGGGAGCGAACAGG